rnacentral:rRNA from 1 species
GACGAACGCUGGCGGCGUGCUUAACACAUGCAAGUCGAGCGGAAAGGCCCUGCUUUCGGGGUACUCUAGUGGCGAACGGAUGGGUAACUAGUGGGUGGUCUGCCCGCCACUUCGGGGUAAGCCUCGUAAACUGAGGCUAGUACCUGCUAGAUACCAUUUUUAGUCAUAUGGUUGGAGAGUGAUUGCGGUGUUGGAUGAGCUCGCAGCCAAUCAGCUGGUUUGUCGGGUAGUUGCCUACCAAGGCGGCGACGGGUCGGCGGCAUGAGAGGUGGGACGGGCACCUAGGGACUGCGAGACGGCGCAGAAGCGUACCGGAGGCAGCAGUGGGGAAUAUUGCACAAUGGGGGCGAGUCUGAUGCAGCGACGCCGCGUGGGUGAUGACGGGCUUCGGGUUGUAAACGCCUUUCGCUAGGGACGACGCAUUUUGUGACGGUAACUAGAUAAGAAGCAACGGCUAACUACGUG